ACCUGGGUGGCUCAAUCGGUUGAGUGUCUGACUUUGGCUCAGGUCAUGAUCUCACAGUUCAUGGGUCCGAGCCCCAUAUCAGGCU
rnacentral:tRNA from 1 species